rnacentral:lncRNA from 1 species
GUUUGCUCUUUUUAUAACAACUCAUUCUCCUGAGAACUAAUCUACUCCUGUCAAACUGGACCCACAUCCACAAGACAACAUUAAUCCACUCAUGAGAGUGGAGCUCCUGUGACCUAAUCUCCUUCUGCAAGGUCCCACCUUUUAAAGGUCUCAUCACUUCUCCACACUGCUACACUGGGGACCAAACCUCCUACGUGUGAUGUUCUAGGAACAAACCAUACCCAGCACUGGACUAGGAUGCAAAACUGAAAAUAGUCUAGAUUACCCCAGUGGGGAGCUUGAGGCCAAAGACUACCCAUUGCUUGGGUCCUGCACGGGACCAAUUCAUCCCCAGUAUCCCUGGAGAGCAUCACCAAGCUCAAAUGCUGCCCCGAGUCCCAGAGGUGCAGCAGCUGGAGGCUGUCAGCUCACCAGACUCCUGGUGGCUGAACAAUAUGUCCUUUCUUAGAGAGAGAACUACACGGUGCACCUCUAGCCAACCUUUGGAUGUAGUCCGAGUCAUGAUGUCUUUCUAGUGGCUGGAGAGCCUCAAGAGGGCCUGUGUGGUCAUAGAGGGAAAGGAAGGAGAGAGCCACUACAUUACCUUCUAGAGUGGGAAGUCAGUAAGUCUGGGACCUGAAACCCUAAGAAACACCAAGAAGAGCUAGGUACAGUCACAUGUCACUUGGUAACAGGGACACGUUACAACUAAAGCAUUAUUAGGCAAUUACAAUGCUGUGUGAACAUCAUGGAAUGACCUUAUAAAGCCCAGAUGGUACUGCCUGGUACUCACCUUGGAAACGAGGGUCAGCUCACAGACCUGGACAGCUCCUUACUACACUGAACACUAGGCAACUGAAACAUAAUGUAAGUAUUUGUGUACUUAAACACAUCUAAGCACAAAAAAAACUGCAGUAAAAAUUCUAGGCAACAGGACAUUUUCAGCUCCACAACAAUUGGAUGGGGCAUUGGAUGGAGCCACCAUCUACAUGGUGCUCCCUCACUGGUCCAGAUGGCGUUCUGCAGUGCCUGACUGUGUGUAGAGAUAAGAAGAUAAUCUACAAAAGAACCAGCUACAAAGUUCUGAAAGCAGUUUUCUCUGGGGAAGGGCCAGUUCGGGGAAGGGAACAGAGAGGUCCCAAGAGCUCCUGGGUGCUCCCAGGGAAGUGGUCACCAUCCAGACCUUAGCCUCGAUGCAAGGCAGAGCAGCCCUGGAGAGCCCAGUGUUGCCUUUAACUGAUGCGGCCUCUGAUCCCUACCACCCAGCCAUGUCUGCCACCUCUCAAUGCCACAGCCAGGACCUCGAACAUCACCACUGAGCAGAAGAGGCCUGAGUGGACCAGGGCAUAAGCCCCUAGCAACUGCACACCUCCUCUGUCCUGGGACAGUCCCAGGCUACUGAGCCUGAAUCCUAGCCUGGUUGUUAACAUCCUUGGCAAGUGCUGCAAAGGGCUAGAGUAUCCAUAUUUCAGCAUGUGCAGGCCACACUGGCUCUGCCAUGAUUGCCUAGCAUGCCCUGACUGUGGAAAGUUGGCCGCAGACAGUAUGGUCAGCCCUCUGCAUCUGUAUCCCUGAGUUUUGCAACCAACUUGGUAUCAAAAAAAAAAUUUUUUUUUUUGGCCAAGGAUUUAGCUCAGUGACACUGUGCCUGCCUUGCAAGUACAAGGAUCCAAGUUUGAUUCCCCAGUACCAAAAAAAAAAAAUUUAAGUCAAUGCAGUGGUACAUACCUGUAAUUCCAACUAUUGGGGGUGCUGAGGCAGGAGGAUCAUGAGUUCAAGGCCAGCCUGGACAACUUAGCAAGACACUGUCUCAAAACAAAAAAAAAAAAGGGCUGGGAUGUAGCUCAGUGGUCGAGCCCUUGCCUAGCAGUCAUGAGACCCCAGGUUCGUCAUCCCAGCACCAAAACCAAACAAAAUCUGGUAAAACAAAUCCACGAGAAUAAAAUAUAUAGCAGUUGUAUUACGCAUUGAAAGUAACCUAUAGAUGAUUUUAAAUAUACAGGAGGAAGUACAUAGGUUAUAUGCAAAUACUGCACCAUUUAUGGGAUUUGAGGAUCCUCAGAUUUUGGUGUCCAGAUGGUCCUGAAACCAAUUCCCUGAGGGUACUGAUGGGCAGCUAUACACAGAUGAAUGUGUGGCCAUGUGCCAAUGAAAUUUUAUUCACAAAAACAGAC